AUUGAACGCUGGCGGUAUGCUUUACACAUGCAAGUCGAACGGCAGCACGGGGCAACCUGGUGGCGAGUGGCGAACGGGUGAGUAACAUAUCGGAACAUGUCCGGAAGUGGGGGAUAACGUACCGAAAGGUACGCUAAUACCGCAUAUGCCCUGAGGGGGAAAGGGGGGAUCGCAAGACCUCUCGCUUUCGGAGUGGCCGAUAUCGGAUUAGCUAGUUGGUGGGGUAAUGGCUCACCAAGGCGACGAUCAGUAGCGGGUCUGAGAGGAUGAUCCGCCACACUGGGACUGAGACACGGCCCAGACACCUACGGGUGGCUG
rnacentral:rRNA from 1 species